AAAAAAAAUAAGAAUACGGAAUACCCCAGACCAUACCUUUUCUAGCACGCAUUCUCUUCCUAUUUCAUUUACUAAAAGAAAUUCAUCUAAGUUUAAAUAUAUGAAUCAAUACAAAAUUUAUAGACAUAAACACUGAAUUGAAAUAGAAUUUGAUUUAAAAUGUUCAAAUAUCUAUAUUUAUUAAAUAUUUUUUGUUGAAUUAUAUUAUCAAUAAUAUAUAUAAUAGUUUGGGAGACUUCAACGCCGUAUUUUGAGAGAAAUAAAGCUAUCAGAAGGUAAUAAGUAGUCACAAAAACAUCUAAUAUUCUUAAAGGGCCAGAAUCUUAUGGUACUAGAGUUAUAUAAUAGGAAAAGGUACAAAUUGGAGAGAUAUUGCUGUGCCUUUAUGGAUUAGUGUGUGGGAACCAAAUGUAGAUACAAUGAAAUUAUAUAGAAUUAUAAAACUAAAAGUACAUUUUUCUUUUAACUAAAUAAAACAUUAUAAUGGUAACUAGAUGAAGAUUCCUUGAGAUGGAGAAUUCGUUGGAUGCUUUUGAAUAUUCAUUUUGUAAUAGUUAAGCAAAAAAAGUAAAAGAUUUCAUGAAUCCUGCAUUUCUUAUUUCUUCGGAAGGAUGGACUUCAUUUGAGAAACCACUUUCACGUCAAUUUCACUAUCAUUUAAUAUAUCUUUAAUUGUGACUCAUAGAAAUGGCGAACUUAUGAUUGGGAUAAGAUCUGAAACUAAGUGAGAGAAAAAUCCUUCUCCAGAACGAAUGUUCCUAUCGAUCAUCACCGAAGUAGUACCUUCUUUUAAAAACCACUAUAUCAGAAUAGUCCUCCACGUCUUCUCGAUUACCACAUCAGAACACUUUCUUCCUAAGAUUUCGGAAAUGUUAUUAUUAUGUUUAGUAGUUGAAGAUAUAGCUAUUAGCUAUACCAAUCAUAGCUAUUAUGAGGCAUUUCUAUUGGCAGUUUGGCAUACUAAAGCAGUUAUUAUUAUUUAA
rnacentral:lncRNA from 1 species